UGAAAAACUCCAUGUUCUUUGGCUUCGGGA
rnacentral:piRNA from 1 species